CAGCAAUUGUCCCGAUCAAAUCAGCGACAUUCCUUCGAUGUAGUUCUUGUUGCGCCCAUGGCUUCAAACCAUCAAGGAAGCUGAACAGCUUAUCCUUCUCGAACAUGUCUUGGAUGUCCAGCAUUAGCGCAGAAAAUUGCUUCACGUAGUCUCGGAUGGAAGUAUUUUGGCGGAGUUGUCUCAACUUCCUUCUUGCGAUGAACUCGGUGUUCUCCAGUAGGAACUAAGUUC
rnacentral:lncRNA from 1 species